rnacentral:lncRNA from 13 species
AGGUUCUAUUCAUUCUAUAUACCAGGGUUAGAGGUUCUAUUCAUUCUAUUUACCAGUCAUAUGACCAGGGUUACAGGUUCUAUUCAUUCUAUUUACCAGUCAUAUGACCAGGGUUACAGGUUCUAUUCAUUCUAUUUACCAGUCAUAUUACCAGGGUUACAGGUUCUAUUCAUUCUAUUUACCAGUCAUAUUACCAGGGUUACAGGUUCUAUUCAUUCUAUUUACCAGAGUUACAGGUUCUAUUCAUUCUAUUUACCAGUCAUAUUACCAGGGUUACAGGUUCUAUUCAUUCUAUUUACCAGUCAUAUUACCAGGGUUACAGGUUCUAUUCAUUCUAUUUACCAGUCAUAUUACCAGGGUUACAGGUUCUAUUCAUUCUAUUUACCAGUCAUAUUACCAGGGUUAGAGGUUCUAUUCAUUCUAUUUACCAUCAUAUUACCAGGGUUACAGGUUCUAUUCAUUCUAUUUACCAGUCAUAUUACCAGGGUUACAGGUUCUAUUCAUUCUAUUUACCAGAGUUACAGGUUCUAUUCAUUCUAUUUACCAGUCAUAUUACCGGUGUUACAGGUUCUAUUCAUUCUAUUUACCAGUCAUAUUACCAGGGUUAGAGGUUCUAUUAAUUCUAUUUACCAGGGUUAGAAGUUCCAAGACUGUUCUAUUCAUUCUAUUUUUAUAUGUGCUGCUGCUUUGUGGUCAAAAAACAACAAAACAAAUAUUUAUAUAUAUAUAGGCCUUUUCAAAUGUACUAGUUUCCCUAUGUAUAAUGCUUUUGAUUACUCCUAAUUGCCCCUGAAGGGAUUAGUCAAAGCUGAAUUAGAUUCAGUUGAGAAUUGACUUGAAUUAUAAAUUGCAUGACAUUGUGUUGAAUCUAAUUCAUUGUAAUGUCUCCCUAGGACCAGCAGGGGGUGCAUGUCGAGACAGAGCCUCUGUGUGUCUUGGAUUUCUUUGUGAAAGAGAACCUUCAGAGGCACGGCUACGGACUGGAGCUGUUUAGCUUCAUGCUGCAGGUGAGACAGACACCACGCCUUUACCUGGGACAGAUGCAGGGUUGGGGUUUACCUGGGACAGAUGCAGGGUUGAGGUUUACCUGGGACGGAAGCAGGGUUGAGGUUUACCUGGGACAGAUGCAGGGUUGAGGUUUACCUGGGACGGAAGCAGGGUUGAGGUUUACCUGGGACAGAUGCAGGCUGGGUUUACCUGGGACGGAAGCAGGGUUGAGCUUUACCUGNNNNNNNNNNCCUAUGUAUAAUGCUUUUGAUUACUCCUAAUUGCCCCUGAAGGGAUUAGUCAAAGCUGAAUUAGAUUCAGUUGAGAAUUGACUUGAAUUAUAAAUUGCAUGACAUUGUGUUGAAUCUAAUUCAUUGUAAUGUCUCCCUAGGACCAGCAGGGGGUGCAUGUCGAGACAGAGCCUCUGUGUGUCUUGGAUUUCUUUGUGAAAGAGAACCUUCAGAGGCACGGCUACGGACUGGAGCUGUUUAGCUUCAUGCUGCAGGUGAGACAGACACCACGCCUUUACCUGGGACAGAUGCAGGGUUGGGGUUUACCUGGGACAGAUGCAGGGUUGAGGUUUACCUGGGACGGAAGCAGGGUUGAGGUUUACCUGGGACAGAUGCAGGGUUGAGGUUUACCUGGGACGGAAGCAGGGUUGAGGUUUACCUGGGACAGAUGCAGGCUGGGUUUACCUGGGACGGAAGCAGGGUUGAGCUUUACCUGG